GUUAAUUCCCUGGAGCCCACAGUUGCCUUAUAUUGUAUCUUUCAUUUCCGCAGGAUCCUAGACUUUUUUGGAAAGUUGAUUUCAUUUUGACAGCAAAACAGGAUUAAGUUGCCCAAGAUGAGCACAUGCUGAGAAACUACAGAAACAAAAGGCAGGAACCAAACACACAGGCAAAAAUACCGAAGUGCUGUUUGGAGGCUGGGGAAAUUCUAAAGAAAAUUAUAAAGCACAGUAAUGGGAAAGGAAAAAGGAAGCCAGACCUGUAAUUCUGAAAGAGGAGGUGCACUGCUGGCCCACAAAGUGAAGCGCCUGUCUCCAGUUUCCAUAUCCCACAUGGAGACUUCAUUGUUGCCUUGAACAGCUACAGGAAAGACAUUGCCAACACAGUUACAGCUAAACCAGAUGACUUGGCUCUCUAUUGACAGAGGCUACGUGUACAACACAUUUGGCUUGCUCCCCAAGGAGAACAUGUCAGCCUCACUCUAUUAUCAUUACAAGGCACUGAGGCAGAAUCCAACUGUGACCCUCAUCUGCUGAACAGAAGCAAGUCUGCAGAAUCAAGCAUUCAGUGCACCAGAAAGUGAAGAACAAGCCUUAAUCACAAUCUUCAACAAUAAGGAGGAGAUUUCGGAAGCUUUGAUGCUUCAAUCCCAAGAAGCUGGAUCCCACCAUUAUCUGAAGCUACAGCCAGGUAGUGUGAGCCUUGGCA